AAGCAAUUUGCUCAUAGCCAUAGCUUUCUUGUGAAAGUAGGAUAUUAACCCAGGUGUCUUGGUGCUGGAGAACAGAACUGGCCAGAGUCCAUCCUGUCUCCCACCGGCAUCCCAUUACGAAAUGAACACAGAAAAGGCAGGUCUGCAAUGCCAACAUCUAGUAUCUAUCCCAAAGACCAGGGAGAAAGGAAGGAAAGAUUCUGGUUCUGUCCUCUUCCCCAAGGCAAGGCUGGCUGCCCUACCAACAGAGGCAAAGAGAAGAGUGUGCAAGGCUGGCUGCCCUCCCAACAGAGGCAAAGAGGAGUGUGUGUUGAAAUAUCCAUUGAAUCCCUGAGACAACUGGAUCCUGGCCCAUUGAAUCAUAAACUCAGCAGAAUCUCACAUCAUAACCCCAAAUGACCUGUUACUCACCAUGUGGCCCAGCUGUCUUCAAACUCACCAGCCUCCUGCCUUAGCCUUCUAAAUGCUUGGAUUACAGGCAUGACCCACCAUAACUGGCUUUGUUUUAGUUUCAGAGAAGAUGAAACUGAUGUGCGUCAAAAAGUUAUGGAGGCUGGGAAGACCUAGAAUGUGGCAUCACUAUUUGCUGAAAUUUUUAAUAUAAUGCCUCUUAGCCUGGUUUGGAGAAAACGUCACAGAGAGGCACCAUUUGUUGUGGUUUUACAUGAAAAUUUUCUGACCCUGAACCUGGUUUGAUGGAAAUCAUUUGCUGAGGAAACCAUGCCGAUUACCGACCGAGCUCUCAAUGGAAAAAUGCAGUCGGCGUGAACCACGCACGAACACAGCAGAGAAAGAAGAAAACACACACCACGAGGAACCCUAAUAGGACAAUACAUUAUAAGUCACAGUGCUACGGAGAAACCCAGUAGCCACAUGGAAGCAGAGACCAUGCAUAUGCAUCUACUCCGCAGCUCUGUGAAUGUCAGCAGCUCCCACGGACUGGAGAUCCCGUGAGAUCCCGUGAGAUCUCACCCAUAGCCUCAUGGUACAUCCACUUGGUGUGCUGGGAGAGUCAGGAUGAGGACCUGAGAAGAACAGCAGCUUGAACCUGACUUCAUUUAACAGCCCACUGCCCUCUUGCCAAGAACCCAUCACAGACCUUCCCAGAAGAGAGGGAUGAGCCUCACCUAUGAAUAAGUCCUCAGAAACUCAAAUUUGAUUCUAAUGGAUUGUUUUCUCAGAAAGACUGAGCAUGUCCCCCCACAUCUCUGUCAUUUCCCACAGUAGUAACCUCUGCAGAUGCCACAUAGAAAACAAAACAAAACAAAAAAACAUGAGGUUGGUGGGCAGAUAGGCAGGGUAUAAACAAACAGCCUUGUAACCCAGAAGCUGUGUGAUAUACAGUAAACUUCACAACACUGAAAAGAUGUCCUAUCUGUUAAAAUGGGGUAAUAACAACUACCCGAAUGUUUAGGAAUAGAACUUCAAUAAAUGAUACAUUUUAUAGUACAGCAGACCAUCCUGUAAAGGUUUCAUCCUUCACUGUGGUGAUAAAUAUCCCAAACCACAUUGAAAAGCAUUGCAUCUACAUUUAUCUACACUGUAACUGUACUGUAAAUCAUGGGGGAGGGGAGAAUCAUAAAAACACCACCUGUCACCGUGUCAUUAAAGCAAGUUGGAAGUGAUACUUACAGAAACACAGCAAGAGCACCCCCAGUCACACAGUUCAAUCUCUUAGCAAGCGUUUUCUUUCUAGCCCAGUGGUUCUCAGUUUGGAAUUUUUGGCACUGCCUAGAGAUAGUUUUGUUGUUAAAACUGAGAAAAGAGCCGGGCGUGGUGGCACACGCCUUUAAUCCCAGCACUCAGGAGGCAGAGGCAGG
rnacentral:lncRNA from 1 species